CAGGAACACAGGAAGUAAAGAACUCAAAGCCAUGAGGAGCAGGAGGUAUGUGUGUGGUGUGCGGGUGAGAAGGGCCUGGGGAGAGAUGGGAGAAGAGAAGCAGAUAGUAAGGCCAGGCUGGGAGCUCCAAUGUCAACCAUUGCUGUUUUCUCAUUUUCCCAAGUCCAACUCAUUUGGCUUCUGCUGUGUACACUGGUAUUGGUGCCUGGCUCUGCUAUCUUUGGUCAUCAUUUAUGGGAAAACGUUCCUGGAAAUUUGUUCUGAAUCAGAGAAGUGGGGAGGAAGUAGCAGUUCAUAGAGCUCUAUGAUUCCCAAGGCUUUUGUGGGGCCCCAGAUACACUGAAACAAUACACACAGAUGUGUGUAUAGGCAUAAGAGUAUUUUGUGUGUGGGGGAGAGGGGAAGAGGUUCCAAUUGCAACUUUAAUUGGAGUUUCAAAGACGCCAUAUAUGAUCCCAAAGUGGGUGUCCUGGGCAUCCCUGGCCCGGCUCAGGGUUCAUUAAGCUCUGAGUUCAGAUCUGUGUACUCUUAUUACAUUCCAUCCUCAGGUCAGUUACAUGACAACUCUCUGGGUGACAGGCGGGUCAUUAAGUGUCCCUUUCUCUCCAAGAAACACCCUUCACACCUAAUCUGAAGAUUAUGGUAGCAAACUUGUCAGGAAUAAUUUUGAUAAAUUGUUUUGGAUAAUUAGUCCCUUUUAAUUUCUCAUGGAAAUAGUAAUUUUAGGUGACAAGAUUAUUAUAUGCUGCUUGUUAGCAGGCUCUCCAGGGUCAAGAAAACACCACCGAGAUGGCUAUUACCUGUUCUUUCCCAUUUUUGGCAUUACCCUUGAAAUACAGAAAAGACAUUCAGUAAAGUCUGCUCCCACUCUGUGGAAAGCACAGAGCACUGGUUUCCUUUUAUCCUUCUGCCAAGUGAAGGAUUAAAGCAGGACUUUCAACUUUUCUCUGCUACUGCCAGCCCAUGUCAGGCUUCACAGACUUGCUGAUCAUUAACUUGAAAAGCUGGGGGAAGUUUUUAUCUCUUCCAUUUGCUUGUUUACCUGUUCAGCCAAGUUGCUUUACAACUGAGUGGGUUUUGAAUAAACAGGGUCCUGGGCGGUCAAAUAUUUGACUCAGCUCAAGUGGAAUAUUUUCAUUGCUUUUCACUUCAUUGAACAUGAGGGUCAGUUUGACAGGUCAACAUGGGUUUGCCUAAUGGUUCACCUUGUACCAAUCCAGGAGAGGAGUGGAUGGAAGGGAGAGAACUCUUCUCAGCAGUUUAGGAACCUGGGAACUGAUUGGCUAAUUAUUUACCAGUUGCGUCGUAAUGGGCCAUUUGUCUGGCCUUUCUAAAUCCUCAUUUCAUCAUCUGUCAAAAGAGUGAAAGAAUACUGCCUAGCUCAUGGCACAGCUGAGUGAAUUACAUGAUAAAUAAAAACUCAGUGCAUAGCAAGAAUUGAACCAAACAAAAGAUACAGGGACUGGGAGAAAAUAUCUGCACUCCAUGUAUUUGAGAAGGGGUUAAGAUCCAAAACACUUAAGGAAUUCAUACAACUUAAUAGCAAGAAAACAAAUAGCCUGAUUAAAAAAAUAGGCAAAAGGUCUGCAUAGAUAUUUCUCAAAAGAAAUUAUACAAAUGCCUAGCAAAUCGAUGAAAAAAAAAUGCUCAACACUACUAAUCACCCAGGAAAUGUAAAAUCAAACCACAAAGAUAGGUCACUUUACACCCAUUAGAAUGGCUAUUAUCAAAAAGACAAAAGCUAAGAGUUGGUGAGGAUGUGUUGAUUAAAAUGUAAAUUAAUACAUCCUCAUUUUGGAAAACUUCAUGAAGUUCUCCCAAAAAACUAAAAACAAAAUUACCAUAUGAUCUAGCAAUCCUACACCUGAGUAUAUAACCAAAAUAAUUCAAAUCAGUAUGUGAAAGAGACAUCUUCACUCCCAGGCAUGCAGCAUCCUCACAAUAGCCAAGAUAGAGACUUGACCUAACUGUUCAUCAACAGACUACUGGAUGAAAAAAAAUGUGGUAAAAAUACAAAAUAGAAUACUAUUCAGCCUUAGUAAAGAAGGAAAUUUAGUUAUUUGGGAUAAUAUGGAUGAACCUCGUAGAUAGCAUGUUAAGUGAAAUAAGCCAGGCACAGAAAGACAAAUACUGCAUGAUCUCAUUUACAGGGGAAAUUUAAAUAUUCAAACUCAUAGUGGUGGAUAUUAGAAUGGUGCUUAUCAGAGGCUAAGAAUCUGAUGGCAGGGGUGGUAAAUGGCUAGCUGUUGGUCAAAGGGUAUGAAGUUUCAAUUAGAGGAAUACAUUUUAGAGAUCUCUUGCACAACAUGUGAGUGCAGUUAACUAAAAUAUAUUUGAAAAUCUCUGAAAGAAAUUUUAACUGUUCUCAUCAUGGAAAGAGAUAAGUAUAUGUGAGGUAAUGGGUAUGUUAGCUUGAUUGAAUCUUUCUACAAUGUAUAUAUAUAUCAAAAUAUCACAUCAUAUUCCUUAAAUAUGUAUGACGAUUUGUCAAAUAAAAGUAAAAUUUUAAAGAUAGCAUGUCCUAUUAUGAUCCUGAUAUACUUCUCCCCAAAUCAAAUCUUACAAAGAUGUCUUAAGUAGUAGAAGGGUAAGGAAUAAAUAUCACACUCAUGCCCAACUGUCUUUACAUCCUUAAAACUUGUUAAUGUAGAUAUGUCUAAUCCUAUAUAUGCUGACAUCCUUUAAAAAUGAUCAGAGACAAGAGGCAGAUAGAAAUUAUUUCAAUGUUAUCAAUUAUGAGGGCUUAACAUGGAUGUCAAUGUAGGUAACCACAUUCCUUUAAUCAAGGAAUUCCUUGAUGUGAAACUGGAAGUAAGGAAUUUUUAUACCUCCCAUUUUUUUUUCUCUCUAACUUUCCAAUGAAACAAACCAAAGAUACUGUUCUUGUGGCAACUUUUCAAAAAAUGAGAAUUUUGUUCUUUUAGGAAAGUUUUUUUUUGUUCUUUCUCUCCUAGUUUCUUAUCUAUCAUAGAAUUUUAUUCCCAUUCUUUAGAAAUUAAAUACUACUAUAUUUGCUGUUUUAUGGAGCUCUUAUAUUUAAACGUUGCAUUUUUCAAAUUUCAUAAGAUUUUCUCAAAUUUCGUAAGGCUUACAGGCUGCACCUUGCUGUCUGUGAAUUCAUCUUCCCUUGCGGUCCUUCUGAAUUUGACACUCACCUUUAUUGACAUUUCGUAGGUCGAUGUUCCAUAUCUCUUCUCUAUUUAUUUUACUGUCCAGUAAGGGCUGAAGGAGGAAAAAAAUCAAACAUUUCCUUAAGGAAUAAGGGAUAGCUCUCCAGGUAUAUCCUCAAAGAAGAAAUCUUCUCUAAGAACUGGAAAUAGGUUCAAAAACCAGAGCCUAUGUUAUAGAUGGCAAAGAUCUCUCCUUGUUUUAGCUUAAACCUGAAGCUUUCCUGAGCUUUAUCUAAAAGUGGAAAGAGGAGUUUGCAUGAUAUUUUCAAUUAGCUUAUUUAAAUGAACUCUUUGGUGAGAUUCCAUAGAAAUAUGAACUAUAAAUAUAAAUUAUAUAGAAAACUAGAGGGUUUAUCAGAUUGUGUCUAAUUAUAGAGAAAACAACACAAAGUUCAUAUAAUCUGGAUGGUGGCUUGCUAGGCUAAUAUUCCUGUAGAAAAGGUCAAAUCAUUCACUUCAGUAAUCCUGUUACUUUCUCUACUAGCUGCUGAAGUGUCUGUGUGACCCUUCUUGACCGACUUGAAUGUGAUCAAAUCAACUUGUCUCAUGAUGUUCUGAUGGGAUACCAGCAACGGCCUCAGCUCCUAAUCUCAAACUUCAUCAAAAAGCAACUUGGACUUUGUGACCAGAUGUCAUAAAUUGCCAGUCCAACCCUCCCCAACUUGCAGUUGGUAGAUCAUGAUUUUGAAGCCAUGUUUUAUUUGUAGCAUUUUCCUACAGUUCUCAUCCACACACUAAAAUCAUAAUAGAGAGGUUUCAUGAUAUCCCUUUAUCUUAAAAAUGAAUUUAUAGGAAGAGAAGUUAAUACCACAUUAAAUGAAAUUCAAAUUCCAUUUUAGAAUAAGCUAACUAGAUCAAUCUAAUAAUUCAAAUUUUAAAAAUUCCUGGAUUGUGACAUUUGGAGUUUUAUAUGCAGCAUUAAUUAAGCUCACAUCAAAAUAGAUCAGCCAUUUGUAGAUACAGUUACCAGUCACUCUGUUGCUGAAUCCAAUCCAGAAAUUCAUGUGAGAAAGUUGUCAGGCACUUCUAGGUGUUGGACCAGUGACAGAAAUUUGAUCAUGCACAUUCAAAAUAUUUACAGAAAGAAAGUAUCAGUGUACUGUAGGUCUACACAUAUGAGUUAUCCCUAAGGAAAUAUAACCAUACUUCUUUUUUACCCCCGCACAACUUCAGUGUACAACAGAAUAGGAUUAGAGGUCUAUAUGUGCCUGCAUUUGUGAUUUAUCACAGAACAACUCUGAGUUACACAUUUAUUUUCAAAUGAAACUUCUUGGUGAUGCAAAGAAAGAUCUUUUUUGUUCAGAAAUCACAAGUGACUAAAUUGCCUUCCAGCAAUCUUUUUUUCUUUGAACGAAAUGUGCUUUGAGGAGGUUGUGUGUGUGUGUGUGUGUGUGUGUGUGUGUUUUGUUCAUUUCAAUAUGAACCUGAGAAAUUACUAACAACUAAAUUUAAAGUUGAGUUUAAAAUGUUAAAGUAAUCCUUUUGUGUGGUUUUGAAGCAGGUCUUUUCUAGACCUCGAAUAUACUUCCAACCCAUUUGAUCCUCUGGGAGGCUCUGUGGGUCUCUAUGAAUUGAGACUCUCAGGCUGCACCUUGCUCUCUGUGAAUUGAUCCUGUCUGGGGCCUUUUUGAAUUUGACAUACUGAGGAGUUGGAAAGAAUGGGUGGCGGAUGGGUGGGGAAUGGCUGGCAAACUUGUAUAGAAUGUAAUGUUG
rnacentral:lncRNA from 1 species